AGAUUAAGUUAUUAAGGGCGCACGGUGGAUGCCUUGGCACUAGAAGCCGAUGAAGGACGUUACUAACGACGAUAUGCUUUGGGGAGCUGUAAGUAAGCUUUGAUCCAGAGAUUUCCGAAUGGGGAAACCCAGCAUGAGUUAUGUCAUGUUAUCGAUAUGUGAAUACAUAGCAUAUCAGAAGGCACACCCGGAGAACUGAAACAUCUUAGUACCCGGAGGAAGAGAAAGAAAAUUCGAUUCCCUUAGUAGCGGCGAGCGAAACGGGAAGAGCCCAAACCAACAAGCUUGCUUGUUGGGGUUGUAGGACACUCUAUACGGAGUUACAAAGGACGACAUUAGACGAAUCAUCUGGAAAGAUGAAUCAAAGAAGGUAAUAAUCCUGUAGUCGAAAAUGUUGUCUCUCUUGAGUGGAUCCUGAGUACGACGGAGCACGUGAAAUUCCGUCGGAAUCUGGGAGGACCAUCUCCUAAGGCUAAAUACUCUCUAGUGACCGAUAGUGAACCAGUACCGUGAGGGAAAGGUGAAAAGCACCCCGGAAGGGGAGUGAAAUAGAACCUGAAACCGUGUGCUUACAAGUAGUCAGAGCCCGUUAAUGGGUGAUGGCGUGCCUUUUGUAGAAUGAACCGGCGAGUUACGAUUUGAUGCAAGGUUAAGCAGUAAAUGUGGAGCCGUAGCGAAAGCGAGUCUGAAUAGGGCGUUUAGUAUUUGGUCGUAGACCCGAAACCAGGUGAUCUACCCUUGGUCAGGUUGAAGUUCAGGUAACACUGAAUGGAGGACCGAACCGACUUACGUUGAAAAGUGAGCGGAUGAACUGAGGGUAGCGGAGAAAUUCCAAUCGAACCUGGAGAUAGCUGGUUCUCUCCGAAAUAGCUUUAGGGCUAGCCUCAAGUGAUGAUUAUUGGAGGUAGAGCACUGUUUGGACGAGGGGCCCCUCUCGGGUUACCGAAUUCAGACAAACUCCGAAUGCCAAUUAAUUUAACUUGGGAGUCAGAACAUGGGUGAUAAGGUCCGUGUUCGAAAGGGAAACAGCCCAGACCACCAGCUAAGGUCCCAAAAUAUAUGUUAAGUGGAAAAGGAUGUGGCGUUGCCCAGACAACUAGGAUGUUGGCUUAGAAGCAGCCAUCAUUUAAAGAGUGCGUAAUAGCUCACUAGUCGAGUGACACUGCGCCGAAAAUGUACCGGGGCUAAACAUAUUACCGAAGCUGUGGAUUGUCCUUUGGACAAUGGUAGGAGAGCGUUCUAAGGGCGUUGAAGCAUGAUCGUAAGGACAUGUGGAGCGCUUAGAAGUGAGAAUGCCGGUGUGAGUAGCGAAAGACGGGUGAGAAUCCCGUCCACCGAUUGACUAAGGUUUCCAGAGGAAGGCUCGUCCGCUCUGGGUUAGUCGGGUCCUAAGCUGAGGCCGACAGGCGUAGGCGAUGGAUAACAGGUUGAUAUUCCUGUACCACCUAUAAUCGUUUUAAUCGAUGGGGGGACGCAGUAGGAUAGGCGAAGCGUGCGAUUGGAUUGCACGUCUAAGCAGUAAGGCUGAGUAUUAGGCAAAUCCGGUACUCGUUAAGGCUGAGCUGUGAUGGGGAGAAGACAUUGUGUCUUCGAGUCGUUGAUUUCACACUGCCGAGAAAAGCCUCUAGAUAGAAAAUAGGUGCCCGUACCGCAAACCGACACAGGUAGUCAAGAUGAGAAUUCUAAGGUGAGCGAGCGAACUCUCGUUAAGGAACUCGGCAAAAUGACCCCGUAACUUCGGGAGAAGGGGUGCUCUUUAGGGUUAACGCCCAGAAGAGCCGCAGUGAAUAGGCCCAAGCGACUGUUUAUCAAAAACACAGGUCUCUGCUAAACCGUAAGGUGAUGUAUAGGGGCUGACGCCUGCCCGGUGCUGGAAGGUUAAGAGGAGUGGUUAGCUUCUGCGAAGCUACGAAUCGAAGCCCCAGUAAACGGCGGCCGUAACUAUAACGGUCCUAAGGUAGCGAAAUUCCUUGUCGGGUAAGUUCCGACCCGCACGAAAGGCGUAACGAUUUGGGCACUGUCUCAACGAGAGACUCGGUGAAAUCAUAGUACCUGUGAAGAUGCAGGUUACCCGCGACAGGACGGAAAGACCCCGUGGAGCUUUACUGUAGCCUGAUAUUGAAAUUCGGCACAGCUUGUACAGGAUAGGUAGGAGCCUUUGAAACGUGAGCGCUAGCUUACGUGGAGGCGCUGGUGGGAUACUACCCUAGCUGUGUUGGCUUUCUAACCCGCACCACUUAUCGUGGUGGGAGACAGUGUCAGGCGGGCAGUUUGACUGGGGCGGUCGCCUCCUAAAAGGUAACGGAGGCGCUCAAAGGUUCCCUCAGAAUGGUUGGAAAUUAUUCAUAGAGUGUAAAGGCAUAAGGGAGCUUGACUGCGAGACCUACAAGUCGAGCAGGGUCGAAAGACGGACUUAGUGAUCCGGUGGUUCCGCAUGGAAGGGCCAUCGCUCAACGGAUAAAAGCUACCCCGGGGAUAACAGGCUUAUCUCCCCCAAGAGUUCACAUCGACGGGGAGGUUUGGCACCUCGAUGUCGGCUCAUCGCAUCCUGGGGCUGUAGUCGGUCCCAAGGGUUGGGCUGUUCGCCCAUUAAAGCGGUACGCGAGCUGGGUUCAGAACGUCGUGAGACAGUUCGGUCCCUAUCCGUCGUGGGCGUAGGAAAUUUGAGAGGAGCUGUCCUUAGUACGAGAGGACCGGGAUGGACAUACCUCUGGUGUACCAGUUGUCGUGCCAACGGCAUAGCUGGGUAGCUAUGUGUGGACGGGAUAAGUGCUGAAAGCAUCUAAGCAUGAAGCCCCCCUCAAGAUGAGAUUUCCCAACUUCGGUUAUAAGAUCCCUCAAAGAUGAUGAGGUUAAUAGGUUCGAGGUGGAAGCAUGGUGACAUGUGGAGCUGACGAAUACUAAUCGAUCGAAGACUUAAUCAAAUU
rnacentral:rRNA from 1 species